rnacentral:rRNA from 1 species
ACGCUGAAGAGAGGAGCUUGCUCUUCUUGGAUGAGUUGCGAACGGGUGAGUAACGCGUAGGUAACCUGCCUUGUAGCGGGGGAUAACUAUUGGAAACGAUAGCUAAUACCGCAUAACAAUGGAUGACACAUGUCAUUUAUUUGAAAGGGGCAAUUGCUCCACUACAAGAUGGACCUGCGUUGUAUUAGCUAGUAGGUGAGGUAACGGCUCACCUAGGCGACGAUACAUAGCCGACCUGAGAGGGUGAUCGGCCACACUGGGACUGAGACACGGCCCAGACUCCUACGGGAGGCAGCAGUAGGGAAUCUUCGGCAAUGGGGGCAACCCUGACCGAGCAACGCCGCGUGAGUGAAGAAGGUUUUCGGAUCGUAAAGCUCUGUUGUAAGUCAAGAACGAGUGUGAGAGUGGAAAGUUCACACUGUGACGGUAGCUUACCAGAAAGGGACGGCUAACUACGUGCCAGCAGCCGCGGUAAUACGUAGGUCCCGAGCGUUGUCCGGAUUUAUUGGGCGUAAAGCGAGCGCAGGCGGUUUGAUAAGUCUGAAGUUAAAGGCUGUGGCUCAACCAUAGUUCGCUUUGGAAACUGUCAAACUUGAGUGCAGAAGGGGAGAGUGGAAUUCCAUGUGUAGCGGUGAAAUGCGUAGAUAUAUGGAGGAACACCGGUGGCGAAAGCGGCUCUCUGGUCUGUAACUGACGCUGAGGCUCGAAAGCGUGGGGAGCGAACAGGAUUAGAUACCCUGGUAGUCCACGCCGUAAACGAUGAGUGCUAGGUGUUGGAUCCUUUCCGGGAUUCAGUGCCGCAGCUAACGCAUUAAGCACUCCGCCUGGGGAGUACGACCGCAAGGUUGAAACUCAAAGGAAUUGACGGGGGCCCGCACAAGCGGUGGAGCAUGUGGUUUAAUUCGAAGCAACGCGAAGAACCUUACCAGGUCUUGACAUCCCGAUGCUAUUUCUAGAGAUAGAAAGUUACUUCGGUACAUCGGUGACAGGUGGUGCAUGGUUGUCGUCAGCUCGUGUCGUGAGAUGUUGGGUUAAGUCCCGCAACGAGCGCAACCCCUAUUGUUAGUUGCCAUCAUUCAGUUGGGCACUCUAGCGAGACUGCCGGUAAUAAACCGGAGGAAGGUGGGGAUGACGUCAAAUCAUCAUGCCCCUUAUGACCUGGGCUACACACGUGCUACAAUGGUUGGUACAACGAGUUGCGAGUCGGUGACGGCAAGCUAAUCUCUUAAAGCCAAUCUCAGUUCGGAUUGUAGGCUGCAACUCGCCUACAUGAAGUCGGAAUCGCUAGUAAUCGCGGAUCAGCACGCCGCGGUGAAUACGUUCCCGGGCCUUGUACACACCGCCCGUCACACCACGAGAGUUUGUAACACCCGAAGUCGGUGAGGUAACCUUUUGGAGCCAGC